rnacentral:rRNA from 1 species
CAUGUCCUUUUGAUAAUAAUUUAAGGUCGGGCCUGCCCAAUGAUUUUUUAAAUGGCCGCAGUAUUAUGACUGUGCAAAGGUAGCAUAAUCAUUAGUUUUUUAAUUGAAAGCUUGUAUGAAAGGUUUGAUGAAAAAUUAGUUGUCUCUAUCUAAAUGUUUUAGAAUUUAAUGUUUAAGUGAGAAGGCUUAAAUAUUUUAAAAAGACGAGAAGACCCUAUAGAGUUUAACUUUCUUUUGAAUUUAAUUUUAGGGUUAAUUUUGAUUUGAUAGCGAGUUUUGUUGGGGUGACAAAUAAAUUUAAUAAACUUUAUUUAAUUUUUUCAUUAAUUGAUGUGUUUUUGAUCCUUUUGUUAAGAUUAAAAGAUAAAAUUACCUUAGGGAUAACAGCGUAAUUUUUUUUGAAAGUUCUUAUUGAUAAAAAAGUUUGCGACCUCGAUGUUGGAUUAAAAUAAAUUAUUGGUGUAGCAGCUAAAUAAUUGGGUCUGUUCGACCUUUGAAAUU